GCGUGAGUGAUGACGGCCUUAGGGUUGUAAAGCUCUUUUACCUGGGAAGAUAAUGACGGUACCAGGAGAAUAAGCCCCGGCUAACUUCGUGCCAGCAGCCGCGGUAAUACGAAGGGGGCUAGCGUUGUUCGGAUUUACUGGGCGUAAAGGGCGCGUAGGCGGAUUUGUAAGUCAGGGGUGAAAUCCCAAGGCUCAACCUUGGAACUGCCUUUGAUACUGCGGAUCUUGAGUUCGAGAGAGGUAAGUGGAACUGCGAGUGUAGAGGUGAAAUUCGU
rnacentral:rRNA from 1 species